AUGAAGGCGGUGCCAUUCACAAAGAGAUCUCUCAAAACUCUUUGUGGAAAACUGAAUAGAGAGCAGUCAGAAAACGAUGCUACAAAAACAAUAGAGGUGUUCAACACAAUGCGGGCUGAAUAUCAUGAGUUCAAGUACAGUGUGCAAGUUGAUAGUGAUGGCCGAGUCAAGACUUUGAUGUGGUCAACAGGGAGAAGCAUUGAGCAAUUUAAGUGUUUUGGCGAUGCUGUCACGUUUGAUAUGACAUACAAAACUAAUCUAUACGACAUGCCAUUUUGCCUCUUCGUUGGUGUCAACAAUCACUUUCAGAGCAUUAUAUUUGGAGGGGUGCUGAUGAGCGAUGAGAAAAUCGACACUUUCAAGCGGAUAUUCACAGAGUUCUUUCAUAUGAUAGGAGCGCCACAACCAUGCACAAUGCUCACAGACCAAGCUCAUGCAAUGGAGGUUGCCAUAGAAGAUGUCAUGCCGCAUACAACACAUCGGUGGUGCAAAUGGCAUGUGUUGAAGAAAGCAAAAGAGUGCCUUGGGCCACUGCUAGGCAAGGGUAGCGAGUUCAAACACGAGUUCAACAAGAUGGUGCAUCACAUGGUGCGGACAAAAUCCUCCUGCAUCUCUGAUGGCUUCGAUCUUCUCAUCAAUACGAUCGACACACUUAUGCAGCUUCUUCCCCAUGUCAUCCAUCUCCUUUCCCCAUUCUCCAAUAACCUCUUGUGCAGGUACCUGAAAAAUUGA
rnacentral:rRNA from 1 species